AAAAAAUGUAAAGAUCUCCUCAAUUUAAGAAAAAGGACAAUUCAAUGGAUACCAAUCAACAAAGAGGUACACAGAUGAGGAGGCAUACAAAGAUAUGUCAAUCGGUAAUGGUGUGUACCAUCCUCCUCCCUUACCACUUCAAUAAAUAUCCCAUAAGCCUCUACAUUAUGGACAAGACACUCCCUACACCGCUGAUUAAUUAAUAUAACAGGAAACCUGUUUGCUCAACAUGCAGUGCAAAAUCAUUCUGUCUAUGGAUACAGAGAACAUCAACACAUUAACAUCAACACGCCAGAGGAUAAACCCAUUGGACUGAGAAUUUACCUCAUAUUUAGAUUUAUUUAUUCUACUUUGCCACUA